GGGCCCGCACAAGCGGUGGAGCAUGUGGUUUAAUUCGAAGCAACGCGCAGAACCUUACCAAGGCUUGACAUAUAGAGGAAAAGUGCAGAAAUGCACUCCCCGCAAGGUCUCUAUACAGGUGGUGCAUGGUUGUCGUCAGCUCGUGUCGUGAGAUGUUGGGUUAAGUCCCGCAACGAGCGCAACCCUCGUCCUAUGUUGCCAGCACGUAAUGGUGGGAACUCAUGGGAUACUGCCGGGGUCAACUCGGAGGAAGGUGGGGAUGACGUCAAAUCAUCACGGCCCUUACGUCCUGGGCCACACACGUGCUACAAUGGUAGGUACAGAGGGAAGCCACCCCGCGAGGGGAGCGGA
rnacentral:rRNA from 1 species